rnacentral:rRNA from 1 species
GAUGAACGCUGGCGGCGUGCUUAACACAUGCAAGUCGAACGGUGAAAGAGAGCUUGCUCUCUGGAUCAGUGGCGAACGGGUGAGUAACACGUGAGCAAUCUGCCCCUGACUCUGGGAUAAGCGCUGGAAACGGCGUCCAAUACCGGAUACGAGCUGCGAAGGCAUCUUCAGCAGCUGGAAAGAACUUCGGUCAGGGAUGAGCUCGCGGCCUAUCAGCUAGUUGGUGAGGUAAUGGCUCACCAAGGCGUCGACGGGUAGCCGGCCUGAGAGGGUGACCGGCCACACUGGGACUGAGACACGGCCCAGACUCCUACGGGAGGCAGCAGUGGGGAAUAUUGCACAAUGGGCGCAAGCCUGAUGCAGCAACGCCGCGUGAGGGACGACGGCCUUCGGGUUGUAAACCUCUUUUAGCAGGGAAGAAGCGAAAGUGACGGUACCUGCAGAAAAAGCACCGGCUAACUACGUGCCAGCCGCCGCAGUAAUAC